rnacentral:tRNA from 1 species
GGAGAGAUGGCCGAGAGGCUGAAGGCACCGGUUUGCUAAACCGGCAUACGGGUCAAACUGUAUCGAGGGUUCGAAUCCCUCUCUCUCCG